GAGGCGGGCAGAGGUAGGUUGGGGUUCAUCGGUUCUGGGUUCCUCCACUACUGGGAGUGCGUUUACUGGGGUGCUAAGUCCCCUUUGUUGCAUUAUCUGCCCCAACCAGUGGGCAGUGGUUUGUAGCUGGAGAGCCAUGGUUUGAAUGUCUUGGUUAGACAGGGUCAUGGUGGGAGUAUUCCCUUCCAGGCUUGGCGAGGGAUUAAGAGAGAUAGGUGUUUGGUUAUUCAACGUUGUAGGGCUAGAAAAGGAGAACUGCUGCCCAUCUUGGGCAGAGCUCAAGUCAUUUGGAAUAUUAAGGUUACUGUCUUGGUGGUUUGCCAUCGUGGAUCUCAGUGGGUUGUGAAAGUGAAAACUCCGGUGAUGAAAAGAUCUCCUUCGUUUCCCACAG
rnacentral:lncRNA from 1 species